AUUGAACGCUGGCGGCAGGACUAACACAUGCAAGUCGAGCGGAGCGGCGGACGGGUGAGUAAUGUAUGGGGAACUGCCCGAUAGAGGGGGAUAACUAAUGGAAACGGUAGCUAAUACCGCAUACUAUCGGAUGAACACAUAUGGGAUUAGAUAGGUGGUGGGGUACUGGCUCACCAAGGAGACGAUCCCUAGCUGGUCUGAGAGGAUGAUCAGCCAUACUGGGACUGAGACACGGCCCAGACUCCUACGGGAGGAAGCAGUGGGGAAUAUUGCACAAUGGGCGAAAGCCUGAUCCAGCCAUGCCGCGUGUGUGAAGAAGGUCUUCGGAUUGUAAAGCACUUUAAGUUGGGAGGCGUUACCAACAGAAUAAGCACCGGCUAACUUCGUGCCAGCAGCCGCGGUAAUUC
rnacentral:rRNA from 1 species